rnacentral:rRNA from 1 species
AUUGAACGCUGGCGGCAUGCCUUACACAUGCAAGUCGAGCGGUAACGGGCCUUCGGGUGCCGACGAGUGGCGAACGGGUGAGUAAUACAUCGGAACGUGCCCGAUCGUGGGGGAUAACGAGGCGAAAGCUUUGCUAAUACCGCAUACGAUCUACGGAUGAAAGCAGGGGACCGCAAGGCCUUGCGCGGACGGAGCGGCCGAUGGCAGAUUAGGUAGUUGGUGGGAUAAAAGCUUACCAAGCCGACGAUCUGUAGCUGGUCUGAGAGGAUGAUCAGCCACACUGGGACUGAGACACGGCCCAGACUCCUACGGGAGGCAGCAGUGGGGAAUUUUGGACAAUGGGCGCAAGCCUGAUCCAGCCAUGCCGCGUGCAGGAUGAAGGCCUUCGGGUUGUAAGCUGCUUUUGUACGGAACGAAAAGCCUUCUUUUAAUACAGGAGGGUCAUGACGGUACCGUAAGAAUAAGCACCGGCUAACUACGUG